rnacentral:lncRNA from 1 species
GAAAAAGACAAAAAUGUCCCUAAGGAUGCACAAACGAUGCACUCAUAUACUGUAUGUUAUGAAUGUGAUGCAAUGCAGUUUUAUCAUGAUUACUUUACAGUUGAAAUGUACAGUUUCUCAUAACAUGAUUUAAUUUUGCGCAGGAGGAGAUGUCAGAGAUGCGUGGGAAUCUGCGGCUCCUGGCGAAAGAGAGGCGGUGUUUGGACCUGACGCUGAUGGUCCAGAGUGCCCAGGAUUCUGCUGGUGCUCUGAUCCUGGACAGUCUGCGAGAUGAGCUGGGGGAGAGGAGAGCCACUCAACAGUAAAGUUUCAAGCACCUACAGAAGUUCUCGAAAGAAGCACCAGGAGCAGCUGUGGUGACUGGAGAAGCAAAUCGCAGUAAUGGGUGAACGACAUGCUAAAGAAGAGGCCGAGCUAAGUACUACACUAGAAGCUAUGGAGUGGAGGAGAGAGGAGACAAUACUCUAGACAGUGCAGUUCUUCUUGGUAUCAUUUUAUUGACAAACAUUUAUGAAAGCUAAUGAUGAACAUUGAUUUUGAGUGAGGUUGGGCAGAAACACUGAGCAUAUAGAUCAUUGACCUACAAAACUAAAAUUGCAGCACCAGGAUGCACCAUUUGUCAAUAAGGUAAUUGCUUUGCUGGCUCCUAUUGGUGUAGAUGCAGCAUCACUCAAAAGUUUGGUUACCUACCUGAUUGUAGGAAUACUCUUCAAAGGCAUAUUUUUCUCCCAUGUGAAAAAGUUUAACUGAACAUUUAUUAGCCAUUUUGACAGUUUGCUGGAAUGUACAUCAUGUAAGUAGACAAGUAGCCAAGUGCAAAGACUGCAAGUAUACCUAUUGGGAAAGACCAGCUAUUCUAGGCCUUGAUAUUAC